GCUUCUCUACUUCUUCCGUGCCUUUGCCCCAGUCUCGGCACCUCGCUCCCGUCACCCCAUCUUUGCAAAAUGGCUCCCGCCCUCAGUGAGCUGAUUCCAGAGGGAGCCUGAUAGACACCGAUUUAAGCCUUCCUUCCCUUAAUGGUCUUUGAAUGCUUCUUAAUCACACCCCUAACGUGACUGAUAAUAUGCAAAUUUCCGUUUGCCAACAGCUGGUGACAAGACCCAUCUCGCGAAGCAUCCAAAAUUUGAAUAAACCCCUUAACCUUCA